AAACAGGUUUCACUUGAAACCGCAUCAAAUUACAAAAGUAAAAAUGU
rfam:Canis lupus familiaris chromosome 15, whole genome shotgun sequence.